AAUGAUGAUGUUACACCUAUAGGGCACUUCUGGAUGGAUUGGAUAUGAUUUGUAAAAACCCUUUCAAUACACUUUAAUAGUAUUACUACCUUAAGGGUACAUAUUACUACUCUAAGGUACUAAUAUGCAUAUAAUAUACUUUGGGGUGAAGAAGGUACAAAAGGUAUCCCUUUAAGAUACUGUCCCAGUGACAAGUUGUUGUACCCCUAAAGAUUCAUCAUUAAAUUAAUCAAAUCAGUUGUUAAUACUAAUGUUUUUGUUGUUGUUGUCCAUCCAAAUCACACAUUACUAAAGGACCAACAAUAUUUUUUUAUUAUUAUUUGAGGAUCUGUAUCUCCAACAAGCAAGCUUUGCUUUAAAGAUUGAUAAUAAUGUAAAAUGUCUCUCUAUAAUGCUGAUAAAUUGUCUCUGCAGUUUCAACAUCAACCACCACUGAAGAAACUACUACAACAGCCAUGAAAACCCGUGAGUAAUUGAGUUUGUAAAUCAGUUAUUCUUACUCCAUUCUGAAUGUCCUGAAAACGACAAUCAUUCUUUUAAGCUCAUGAGUAUUUGUCGAUCAUUUACUAUACAUACGGUACAUCACCACACAUUUCACAAUGUUUUUUCAUCAGCAUUAACUGUAAUGUCCACUUCUGAGACUACAAUAUACAGUAAAACUGUUUCAACAUCAACCACUACUGAACAAACUACUUCAACAACCAUGAAAACCUGUGAGUAAUUGAGUUUGUAAAUCAGUUAUUCUUACUCCAUUCUGAAUGUCCUGAAAACGACAAUCAUUCUUUUAAGCUCAUGAGUAUUUGUCGAUCAUUUACUAUACAUACGGUACAUCACCACACAUUUCACAAUGUCUUUUCACCAGCAUUAACUGUAAUGUCCACUUCUGAGAGUACAACAUACAGUAAAACUGGUAAGUUGCUAAUAAUAGCUUUUCUGGUUAUUUUAGAUUAAAUCUGAUAAAUUAUUUCCUUCUAAAAACUGAUGGCUCUUGCAAUGUUAUUUUUAUAUUAGCAGACCUCCAAACCAAGAUAAACCCACCAAUCAGUACAGCAAAGGAAACCAUGAGUAAGUUCAUCCACUCUUUCUCAAUGGUAAAAGUCACUAUGCAGAAUUAAUAAAUUGGAUUAAAAAGCUCAAAUAUAGCUGGGAAUUAUUUUCAAAGUUAAUUGGUACAUCAGUAACUCAUAAUGGCAGUUCCAGAAUGAAGGCAGUAAACAGAGAAUUCAACAAAGAGUCUCAUUAUUAUGCUGCUUAACAGUAGAAUGUCAGAAAAUGCAGUACAUGACUUUUGCCCAGAUUAACAGUCUGGAUACACUGAUGCUAGUUGGCUAAAGUCAGAGCACAUUUGUUCA
rnacentral:lncRNA from 1 species